CUACGGGGGGCAGCAGUGGGGAAUAUUGGACAAUGGGGGCAACCCUGAUCCAGCCAUGCCGCGUGUGUGAAGAAGGCCUUUUGGUUGUAAAGCACUUUAAGCAGUGAAGAAGACCUAACGGUUAAUACCCGUUAGCGAUGACAUUAGCUGCAGAAUAAGCACCGGCUAAGUCUGUGCCAGCAGCCGCGGUAAUACAGAGGGUGCAAGCGUUAAUCGGAAUUACUGGGCGUAAAGCGAGCGUAGGUGGCUUGAUAAGUCAGAUGUGAAAUCCCCGGGCCUAACCUGGGAACUGCAUCUGAUACUGUUAAGCUAGAGUAGGUGAGAGGGAAGUAGAAUUCCAGGUGUAGCGGUGAAAUGCGUAGAGAUCUGGAGGAAUACCGAUGGCGAAGGCAGCUUCCUGGCAUCAUACUGACACUGAGGCUCGAAAGCGUGGGUAGCAAACAGGAUUAGAUACCCUAGUAGUC
rnacentral:rRNA from 1 species